rnacentral:siRNA from 1 species
AAACAACAAAUGAGAGACUGAUGG